rnacentral:rRNA from 1 species
GUCUCCCUUGAGGGCCGUGGAAGACGACCACGUCGAUAGGCCAGAGGUGUAAGCGCAGCAAUGCGUUCAGCUGACUGGUACUAAUUGCCCGAUUGGCUUGAUCUG